UGGGGAAUAUUGGACAAUGGGCGCAAGCCUGAUCCAGCCAUGCCGCGUGAGUGAAGAAGGCCUUAGGGUUGUAAAACUCUUUCGCCGGGGAAGAUAAUGACGGUACCCGGAGAAGAAGCUCCGGCUAACUUCGUGCCAGCAGCCGCGGUAAUACGAAGGGAGCUAGCGUUGUUCGGAAUUACUGGGCGUAAAGCGCACGUAGGCGGACUUGUCAGUCAGGGGUGAAAUCCCAAGGCUCAACCUUGGAACUGCCUCCGAUACAGCAAGCCUAGAGAUCGGGAGAGGUGAGUGGAAUUCCUAGUGUAGAGGUGAAAUUCGUAGAUAUUAGGACGAACACCAGUGGCGAAGGCGGCUCACUGGCCCGAUACUGACGCUGAGGUGCGAAAGCGUGGGGAGCAAACAGGAUUAGAUACCCCGGUAGUCCCUGAGCGGGCUGGCAAGGCGCAU
rnacentral:rRNA from 1 species